GCCAGCAAAAUUUAUUAAACAAUUGAAAAGCGUAUCAAAAUUGGAGAGCGGCAAAACUCCCGGUCUCAAUUCACACACCUCACAUUUCAGUCUCCACACACUCAGCUCACUCACCUCUUUUACACUCACCUCUCUUCUCAAACUCCCCUCACUCACCUCUCCGGCACUUUUGACGACAACUGAAUCGGGGUCUCUCUCAAUGGAUUUCACCUUUAUUAGGGCUUUUUUGUUUCGGAUCUUCAGUUGUGGGCUUCGAUUUAAAGCUUCUUAAUUCAUUCACUGAAAUUAGGGCUUGAGAUUUAUAGUUUCUUACAAUUUAUUUAAGAGAUUCGAAUUAUGAGUUUCACUUUAACGUUGUUAAUUUAGUGUCUCUGUUUGUUUCAAGGCUUCAAUCAGAUUGGGCUCCAAUCCAAUCAGGACUUCCAUCAAAUUAGGGCUUUUCACUUUAAUGGGGGCUUCAAAUUGCUUGGAUUGUGAUUUAAGAUACACUCCUCUCUCAUAUAUUUGCUUGUAAGUAUGUAUCUUUGUUCUCUAAAAUCUAUGUUUGAUUUUAAAUAUAUGUGAUUCUGUGUAUAUGAGUUUUGGUUUGUUCUAUGUUGUCUUUGUCUAUCUCUCUCAUUCUCUUCCCCUCCCUCUCCUACUCUGUCUCCCCCUCUCUCUUACACACACAUUUAAUUUACUAUUUUACUUGCUAAUAUACACACACACACUCUACUACUCUGUUUCUCUUGUACAGAUUCUAUUAUGUGUAUUAUGUAUAUUUGUUAUUUUUAUUAUAUUGAUACUAAAAUAAUCUCAAGUGCUUGACAAGCUUGAUCGAUAAUAUGAGCUCUGCCAGACCUCAGUUUCCUACCAAAGAGUACAUGAAAACACAGGUAGAUAUCCAAACUUUUGCACCUAAUUAUAUAUCGUGAGUGAUUUACUGACUUUUUGUUUCUAUAGAUCAAACUAUCUGACCCUAUACACUAAUACACCAGUUAUCACUGGAGAAAUCGGUGCGCGAAAAUCUUCAAACCCGUGCUUCCCUUCACGGGGAGUCAUUUAAUUUCUCCAUUGGUAAAAUGCAUCCUGCAACUUUUGCUCAUCAUAUUUACUAUCUUUCAGGAAAGACUUUAUGUUAUUCUAAAAUAGGGAGAACAGUCAAACAACUGUUAUUGGUUGUCCUGGCGAACCAAUCUAGACAGGUGAGGUUUCUUGUCAUAUAGCCUUCAUCCACUGUUAACUUGAUAAGGUUUUAGUUGUCAAGUUUGAGUUAUAAUAUUACAUCUAAGAAAACCUUACUCAAGCAGGACUUUUCUAUGCUGAUUAUAAACCCUGAAAAACAAAAGAUGUAAUAUACAAGCUAAUGACUCCCCUGGCUUUGUAGAUUUGAGUAUAGGAACCUCGUAGGUUAACUUCUAUUUUGUACAUGUGAAGAAAAUGGUUUUUUAAAUCAGCGUGAUGUGUAGUUUAGUGACCUUAGAAUAGUUUAAUAUAUUUAGGUCUCAUAUAUUAAUUCAGUUGGCUUGGCAUCUGUCAGAAACAUUAAGAUGGGUUUGGCUAAGAAUUUGGUUAUUAGAAUGAAUGAGCAUAUAUUUAUAUACUAGAACUCCGUAUUCUGUCUGAAAUCAAAGUGCUUCCAGUUGGCCAUAUUACUCCCCCUACAAUAAUAAAACUGUAGCCUGUCAAUAUUAUUGAAUCUUUAUAUAUGUGAACUAAUGAACUAAAAAAUAGAGAUUAGUGGUAAAGAAUAGAGAUUAGUGGUAAUGGGAUAUGCUUUCUUCUGGCACUUAAGCAUCAUUGUAGAAAAUACUUAUCAUUCAUAAAAGGGUCAAAGUGUGAUUAUAUGAUAUAAACUUUAUUCAGUUCUGUGUAGAUAGCUUUCUCACAAAUUUUGGUGUAGGGGUAUAUAUACUAUAUUCUAUAUACUCUGAAGUUUAUAUGUUUAACUUUAUCGAACUGAGCUUAACUUUAUAUGUUUGUACUAGGCUACAACACCAAAUUUGGAACAGAAGCUUGAAAAAUUAGCUCCUGCAGAUGCUGUUGCUGGUUUGAUUGCUCCCUAUUUUGUGGAAAGGUUAGAGUCUACUUUUAAAUAUAAUAAAAUCAUUUACAGGGAUAUACACAAUCUUUAGGAAAGUGUAAUAAUUUUCCAGUUUGAAGCUUUCGGCCUGCGGUUUGAUAGAGAGCUGUUUGCUUUCAAAUUACUCCUUUUAAAAUGACACAUGGAGUGAUGUUUUAAUUGUACUAGAAGUGUAUCAAGGUAGCUUCUUGUGUUGUGUCUUGGUGUCCUUUUUGUAAUUGAUGAAUAGCUAAGAGGACACCAUUGUGAUUAAAUACCAAUAAAAAUGGACUAAUCUGUCUACCACUAUACAGGUUUGUAGGAUUACAUCAGUUGAAUUUAAUGGAAUAAAAGAUUUCCCCAAAAUAUGAAAUUUGUCAGAACUUAAAAUGAUGGAAGAGGAAUAGUAGUUUCAUGUGAGACAUGCAAAUCAAGUCAUAGAUCUAUUUAACUAGCUACAACUAUUACAAUUAUAUUAUAGUAUAGUGAUUUGGUUUGAUUUGAACCUCUGCAGUUAGUUAAUAGAAGUGUUUCAGCCUAUAUACCAAUAUUAAUGAUGGACAAAGUUUUUACCCUGUUUAGUUAAUUUCAUUAUCUACUGCAAAUUUAUUGUGUUAUCUGUUUACUGUCCAACUAAAUCCACAUAAUUUGAGUUGUUCAAAAUAAGCAUGGCUUAUUUACCGGAACUCAGCUUAGUAGUUGCAUUGUAUUGUUUCAGGGAAAGCCUAAGCCGUUAAUGGAUCAACCUAACAGAGUCAAAGACUUGACUGUUCCAGAAUUUGGAACUCUCCAAGCUUGGGAAGUGCGAGCAAAAUGCAAGAAUAUGUUUAUUUAUAUAAUAGUGUAGUGUACUGUGAUGUUUGGUUGGAUUUGUUUAAUACUUUGAUUUGGUUGGAUUUGUUAGGUAGUUUGGUUUGGUUGGAUUUGUUAUAAACUUUGAUUUGUAUGAAAGAAUAGUUUAAUGUUGCAGUUGAUAUAGUAAAAUAUUGCAAAAUUGUUAUUUGAUGUUGC
rnacentral:lncRNA from 1 species